rnacentral:snRNA from 1 species
GUGCUUGCCUCGGCAGCACAUAUACUAAAAUUGGAAGGAUACAGAGAAGAUUAAUAUGGCCUCUGUGCAGGGAUGACAUGCAAAUUCGUGAAGUGUUUCAUAUAUUA